rnacentral:tRNA from 1 species
GUAGGUAUAGCUCAGUGGUAGAGCACAUGCUUAGCAUGCAGGAUGUCAUGGGUUCGAUCCCCAGUACCUCCA